rnacentral:rRNA from 1 species
UACAGAGGGUGCAAACGUUGUUCGGAAUUACUGGGCGUAAAGCGCGUGUAGGCGGCUAUGCAAGUCGGAUGUGAAAGCCCCGGGCUCAACCUGGGAAGUGCAUUCGAUACUGCGUAGCUUGAGUCCCGGAGAGGGAUGCGGAAUUCCAGGUGUAGCGGUGAAAUGCGUAGAUAUCUGGAGGAACACCGGUGGCGAAGGCGGCAUCCUGGACCGGCAUUGACGCUGAGGCGCGAAAGCCAGGGGAGCAAACGGG